rnacentral:rRNA from 1 species
GAUGAACGCUAGCGGCAGGCCUAACACAUGCAAGUCGAACGGCAGCACGGGAGCAAUCCUGGUGGCGAGUGGCGAACGGGUGAGUAAUAUAUCGGAACGUGCCCAGUCGUGGGGAUAACGUAGCGAAAGCUACGCUAAUACCGCAUACGAUCUAUGGAUGAAAGCGGGGGAUCGCAAGACCUCGCGCGAUUGGAGCGGCCGAUAUCAGAUUAGGUAGUUGGUGAGGUAAAGGCUCACCAAGCCGACGAUCUGUAGCUGGUCUGAGAGGACGACCAGCCACACUGGGACUGAGACACGGCCCAGACUCCUACGGGAGGCAGCAGUGGGGAAUUUUUGGACAAUGGGCGCAAGCCUGAUCCAGCAAUGCCGCGUGCAGGAUGAAGGCCUU